GACGAACGCUGGCGGCGUGCUUAACACAUGCAAGUCGAACGGAAAGGCCCUGCUUUUGUGGGGUGCUCGAGUGGCGAACGGGUGAGUAACACGUGAGUAACCUGCCCUUGACUUUGGGAUAACUUCAGGAAACUGGGGCUAAUACCGGAUAGGAGCUCCUGCUGCAUGGUGGGGGUUGGAAAGUUUCGGCGGUUGGGGAUGGACUCGCGGCUUAUCAGCUUGUUGGUGGGGUAGUGGCUUACCAAGGCUUUGACGGGUAGCCGGCCUGAGAGGGUGACCGGCCACAUUGGGACGGAGAUACGGCCCAGACUCCUACGGGGGGAAGGGGGGGGGAAUUUUGCACAAGGGGGGGAAGCCUGAUGCAGAAACGCCGGGGGGGGGAUGACGGCCUUCGGGUUGGAAACCGCUUUCGCCUGUGACGAAGGGGGAGUGAGGGUAAGGGGUAAAAAAGCACCGGCUAACUACGU
rnacentral:rRNA from 1 species